rnacentral:sRNA from 1 species
CCUGAAAAAGGUUAUCAGAAAAAUCUUAGAAGAA